UACGUAGGGGGCAAGCGUUGUCCGGAUUUAUUGGGCGUAAAGAGCGUGUAGGCGGCCAGACAAGUCUGCUGUGAAAACUCGAGGCUCAACCUCGAGCUGUCGGUGGAAACUGUCUGGCUAGAGUCCGGAAGAGGAGAGUGGAAUUCCUGGUGUAGCGGUGAAAUGCGCAGAUAUCAGGAAGAACACCUAUGGCGAAGGCGGCAUCCUGGACCGGUAUUGACGCUGAGGCGCGAAAGCCAGGGGAGCAAACGGG
rnacentral:rRNA from 1 species